UCGCUAUCGGCAAACGCAAGUGCCGGAAAACUUCAAACAUAGUCGGCGGCACUGAAAGGCACGCCGUGUAAACAAGCGAGUGCUUCUUGUUCUGGGGGAAUUCCUAAAAUCGGGGCCCCCAGCGGCAGAGUGUGGUCCACCACAUGUAAGCUAUUAAACUGUAAUAACAAUCUGAUGACCGAAAACAAUGUGCCCGGAAUUAGCGCCCACUCCGUGUCUCGAAGCACGCACACGAACGUCUGGGGAUAGUGCUGAUCAUUAAAUAUAACGCCACCAUUAAUUCCCUCAAACAAUGGAAACCCACUAUGUGUAUUCCUUUGAAGGUGAUUUAAACAAUUGUAAUAUUUUCCAUUGAGGAAGCAGGAAAAUUUCGUGGUAAAUAAAAUAUGCAAUAAAAUGA